rnacentral:rRNA from 1 species
GACGAACCGUGCUAACGUUGUUCGGAAUCACUGGGCUUAAAGGGCGCGUAGGCGGGCAAGCAAGUCAGGGGUGAAAUCCCACGGCUCAACCGUGGAAGUGCCUUUGAUACUGCUAGUCUUGAGGGAGGUAGGGGCGUGCGGAACUUCCGGUGGAGCGGUGAAAUGCGUAGAUAUCGGAAGGAACACCGGUGGCGAAAGCGGCGCGCUGGACCUCUUCUGACGCUGAGGCGCGAAAGCCAGGGGAGCAAACGGG